UACAGAGGGUGCGAGCGUUGUUCGGAAUUAUUGGGCGUAAAGGGCGCGUAGGCGGUGCCACAAGUCACUUGUGAAAUCCCCGGGCUUAACUCGGGGCCUGCAGGCGAAACUGUGGUGCUGGAGUAUGGGAGAGGUGCGUGGAAUUCCCGGUGUAGCGGUGAAAUGCGUAGAUAUCAGGAGGAACACCAAUAGCGAAGGCAGCUCGCUGGGACGUUACUGACACUGAGGCGCGAAAGCGUGGGGAGCGAACAGG
rnacentral:rRNA from 1 species